GGCUCUGUAGUGAAAUUCAUGGUGGGUUGCAAGCUCAUCGAUGUGCGUUAGUCAGGCACCGGAGUCU
rnacentral:tRNA from 1 species